rnacentral:rRNA from 1 species
AUGCUCAUCCUCGUGUCUUUGAGCCUGCUGCUACACCUAUGCGUGGCGGAGGAAGCCGCCAGCCACGCAGAAGAAGCACAAGCACAAGCACUCCUCCGAUGGAAGUCCACUCUGCUCAACUCCUUCUCUUUGUCCUCGUGGUCGCACACCACACCGACCUGUUCUUGGUUCGGAGUAACAUGUGAUGCCCACGGCCGUGCUACCCAGCUCAAGCUUUCAUCAUGCAACCUCAGUGGCACUCUUGACGCCUUGUACUCCGCCGCGCUCGGUAGCCUUACCGAGCUCGGCUUUUACGGGAACAACCUCGUCGGCACCAUCCCGGUGAGCAUAUCCCUACUACUCAACCUCACCUAUCUGGACUUGAUGAGCAACAACCUUGUUGGUCCCAUACCCUACCAAUUCAGCAAACUCAAGCACUUGAUGUACCUUGAUUUGUCUAGCAACAGGCUAUCUGGGCUGAUACCACGUCCGCUCUCACUCGGGAUGCUGCAUAGUUUGGCUCAGCUUGAACUGAACAACAACUCGUUCUUCGGACCGAUCCCAGCGUCACUUGGGCAGCUUAGGAUGCUAGAAUAUCUGGACAUAAGUGGAAAUCAUUUAGGUUCAACCAUCCCUUCCGAGCUGGGAAACCUUACCCGUCUCAUCAACAUAGACCUGUCCUGGAACAAGCUUUGUGGAGGUUUGCCCACAACCUUUUCCAGGUUGUGGCACCUGGAAUCGUUUGUAAUGGGGAACAACAAUCUCGACGGCACUGUUCCACCAGACUUCUUCACAAACUGGACCAACUCCCUCACAAGGUUUGAUAUAGCAAACAACUCUUUCAUCGGAAGCAUCCCACCGGAGAUUGUUCGGUGGGAGAAUCUGUCUAGGCUGUACCUCUCUGGCAACAUUUUCACCGACAUGAUCCCCACUGAGCUAGUAAGCAUGCAACACUUGGAAAUAUUGGACCUGUCCAAUAACCAUCUUAAUGGUGUGAUACCAUCAGAGAUUGGCAACUUGUCAUGGUUAGUAAUCCUGGACCUUAGCUCCAACCAGUUGGAGGGCAAGAUUCCUACUAUGAACCCCGACACUGGAGGUAACUAUUCCAUGUUUUUUGCUAGUCUAAUAUCCUUGUCUGGAAACAAAUUUACAGGUAUUAUUGACUGGAGUUUUUGUCAGCUACCUUAUUUACAGUCCUUGGAUCUAUCAGACAAUCUGUUGUCUGGAGUUAUCCCUAAUUGCCUUUGGAGCUUGCCAAAUCUUGCGUACCUAGAUUUGUCAAGCAAUGCUAUUGAUGGAGAAGUUCCACUCUCAGUACACAAUAUUUCUGCACUGUAUUCACUACAUCUAUCUAACAACCGCUUCACAGGGUGCUUUCCCUCUAUUGUAAGGAACUACAGAAACCUAAUAACUCUAGAUCUUGGUGGCAACAAGUUUUCCGGGGUAAUUCCUACUUGGAUAGGGGCAAGCAAUCCUUCGCUCAGGGUUCUCCGACUACGAUCAAAUAUGUUCCAAGGAAGUAUUCCUCAUGAGGUUACACAACUCAUUCAUCUCCAAAUACUUGACCUAGCUGAAAACAAUCUGACAGGCUGCGUACCAGUUAGGUUUGCUAGCUUUACUCACAGGAAAUGGCCAGAACGGACCUCGCUAGGGAUGGAUCUGAGUUCUGUGUACUACUCAAUUGAUGGCCAGCUUGACAUAAUUUGGAAGGGGCAAGAUUAUACUUUCCAUAGAGCAAUUUGGCUUAUGACUGGCAUUGAUCUAUCAAGCAACUCUCUUUCCGGUGAGAUCCCCGCAGAACUACUUAAUCUUCAAGAAAUUCGGUUCCUCAACUUGUCUAGAAAUAACUUAUCCGGUGGUAUCCCAAACAACAUUGGCAACAUGAAAGAUAUGGAGUCCCUUGAUUUCUCUUGGAAUAAGCUCUCAGGUCCCAUUCCAUCAAGCAUAUCAGAUUUGAUGUGCUUGAGCUCACUUAAUCUCUCCAACAACCUUCUUUCAGGAGAAAUACCUGAUGGUAAUCAGCUUCAAACGCUCAAUGACCCAUCGAUUUAUAGCCAGAACCAAGGGCUCUGCGGCCGCCCUCUGAGCAUCGCAUGUACCAAUGGUUCAAGUGGUACAACAACACUAUACGGGGUAAAGGAGCAUCAACAAGAACUUGAUGCUGUCUGGCUGUACUACUCAGUGGUCGCUGGAAUUGUCUUUGGUUCUUGGCUAUGGUUUGGAACAUUAUUUUUCUGGAAGCAUUGGAGGUUCACUUUUUUCCAUUCCAUCGACGCCGUGCAGCAAAAAGUUGCGCAGAAGUUGAAGCAUAUAUAUUGA